GACGAACGCUGGCGGCGUGCUUAACACAUGCAAGUCGAACGGAAAGGCCCUGCUUGCAGGGUGCUCGAGUGGCGAACGGGUGAGUAACACGUGGGUGAUCUGCCCCUUACUUUGGGAUAAGCCUGGGAAACUGGGUCUAAUACUGGAUAGGACCAUGCUGUAGGUGGUGUGGUGGAAAGAUUAGUUUCGGUAAGGGAUGAGCUCGUGGCCUAUCAGCUUGUUGGUGGGGUAAUGGCCUACCAAGGCGUCGACGGGUAGCCGGCCUGAGAGGGUGGACGGCCACAUUGGGACUGAGAUACGGCCCAGACUCCUACGGGAGGCAGCAGUGGGGAAUAUUGCACAAUGGGCGCAAGCCUGAUGCAGCGACGCCGCGUGGGGGAUGACGGCCUUCGGGUUGUAAACUCCUUUCAGCCAUGACGAAGCCCUUGUGGUGACGGUAGUGGUAGAAGAAGCACCGGCUAACUACGUG
rnacentral:rRNA from 1 species